rnacentral:lncRNA from 10 species
CAGGGGCCUCACAGGAGCCUGUUCUCACACAUGGGAGACCCAACUCACAUAUGAGAGGCGAUGAGGUAGGAUUGGAGACCCCAUUCUGGCAGGAGAGGCAUUGACUCCUUUCAGAUGAAUGGAGGAACUCAGCACAAAGCUGUGCACAGCCACAAAACACUCACACUGGGAUUGACUCCCUCCAUGCAGCACUUUAAAAUGGAAGCACCAACGCUGGCAUCAGCAGAGUCCUUCAAAGAAUUUGAUUCAGUGGAGGCCAACUCAACAAAAUAGAAAGCCCCAGAUGGACAGCCAUUGGCUGCACCUGGAGCAGACAAUUGAGAGGCCUGGCUCAUGGAUGGGUUUGAACCACCUCAGGACUGAAGAUGAGCGGCUCAGUUUCACUAACAACAAGAACAGUGACAAAUUCCCUGCCCGGCCCAAGCUCUGUGGUCCUUAUGCAGGUAGAGUCCUCAUGCUGAAUGUUUGCAAGCUGACUCUUCAAUAAGACCGUGAGCUCCUUGAGAAAGGAAUUGGGUCUCUGUGCAGUGUAUCACAUCUACCUCAAUGCUCUGCUUAGAGGAAGUGUUUGAAAAUUUUUUGUGUGAUAAAUAAUAAUACUAAUCCAGUUAAGAUAUACUGCCCUCGGUAUGAAAAACUCUAUCCCAAGGUGGAGCAGAUGCCAGUGGCACCCCUGUCCCAGAUGUGACAACCAAAAAUGAUGUCAGACAUUGCUGAAUUGUCCCCUGGAGGAGGAGAAAAAUCAACCCCUUUGAGAACUGCUGGGCAGCUCUAAAGGUCAUCCCUAAGUUCAGGGUGAGGAGAUGACCUACCCUUCUGCCCCGCAACGCCAUCCUACAUCUGAAAUUCUUCUUAAGGGCAUGGUGGAAACCCUUACCUUUGAGAUGAGCCCAGUACCAGCACUAACAUAUGGAACCAUAGAGUUGACACUGGAGGAACCCCCAGGUUUCAUUUGAGAGGACACUGGAGUUCAGCGUGGAAGAAAGGCCUGCCCAAAGUCACACAGCCCAGGGCUCCUGGCAGGGAGCCACGGCUGCUUUCUCUGCUCCAUACUGGAAUUAAAGGUUGAAUUCCAGGCAAUUUUCCAGUUCCUAGUCCCACUGGAUGGAAAGUCAACACACCUGGUUCUCUCAGUGAUCUGAAAUCACAUGCAGAAAUCCACUCCUUAGUCACAAAGAGAAGUUAGUGGAAGUGUGUUUUGUUCCUAGUUAUCCUCUCCAAAGGUUCAGCCCUUUGCAUUCCCUUAGGAGAAAACAGGGCCUGCCCUCCUCAUGUCUGUCACCUGUCCAAGAUCAUUCCUUCUAUCAUUCACCUCCCAUUAACCAAAAUCCCCUUCUCUAGGUACCUGGGUCUUGGACAGCUGUCAAGUGGAAAGCCUUCUGAUUAACUAAUACUAUAAUGUAAAUGACUGCAAAGUUCCCUCUUGUGAUAACUGAGUCCUGGACAGUGGUCAAGGAAGAAAUCCUUCUUAUUAAUUCCCAGUAAGAUGUGAAUCACUGACAACUAGCUCUCCAAUUGUAUCGUCAAAGAGAGUGCCUGGAGGUUCAAAAUGUUCGUAAUUCCUUUCAUUUGUUUGACAAUUAUAGAAGUUUUGCUCAAAUCUGGGUUUAGUCACUUAGGAGCUUUGACCUUAUUAAAGUUAUUUAACCUCCCUGAGCCUCAGUUACCUCACUGGGAAAAUGAAGAUCAUAAUUAGACCCCAAAAUAUCAGGUGAGAAUUAACUGGGCUCACAGCAUAGCCUCUGACUGAUUAUAGGUGCUUAAUAAAUGUUAGUUCCUUUUGAAAGAUAGAAGUUGCCACCCAUGGAGAUUUUAAAACUUGCUCAAGAGCACUGCUGGUGAGAGCUGGGUCAGAAACAGCAGUUCAGAAGCUUCUAGCAGCGUUGCAAAGUCCCUCCUGGCAGGACAUCAGCAUUGGUCUCAUUCAUUGACACAUGUCUGAGGCCCAUGCCUGGGUACUAGGGAUAUGGGCAAUGUGGAGAGGCUGGUGGGCAGAGUACUUGGAGAGUGGUAGUUGCAUGGGAGUAGUCACAGAAAUCACUGUUUUGGGAGUCUUCAGCAGACUCCAUCACUGUGGCCAAGCUGGGGAGAUGAGGGUGGCUUGAGGUUGGGUUAGACAGGCAGGGCAGAGGUGUGUGGCAUUGUUGAUGGGCCAGGUCAACUUGGAUGAGGUCUCUUGGCAUGCACCUCUCCUAGGGGAUGUGAGAGCUGACCUCUGUGGGGAAAGACCUGGGCUAUCCAUCACCUGUUUGCUCAGGGCAUUAUGCCCUUGUGUGAGAGGCAGCUGAGUGGCCACAGGGCCUCUGCAGCCUCCAAACCUGGGAGACAAAGAGGGGAAGGCUGACUCCCUCUUGGUGAGGAACCAACUUCUUCUAAUUCAAGGAGGCUGGGGCUGCCACCACCUGACAUCAGCCAUGGGGACCGGUUUGUUCUGUCAUGUCUUCAGAGGACUGGCCUUGGAAAGCAGCACUGCUGGAAAUCCUGCUGUAAAGCACAGACUUCUGCCAUGGAGUCCAAGUUUGUCCAAGUUUUCAUGCAAUGGGUUUGCUAAAAGUGGGACCUAUUGUUUUGUUAUAGAAACCUGGGCUAAGGACUCACAGCAGAUAAAAAUAAACUUAUUUCAUUAUCAAAGUAAAACAUGUCCAUUGCAAAGGAUAUAGAAAAUACAAGAAAAGUGAAAUGUUAAAAUCAUGCACAGUGCCAUCCCAAACUCUUACUAAGAUUCUAUGUGUUAUGUUCGUGCAAAAGUAACUGCAGUUUUACCAUUACUUUUAAUGGCAAAUUAAAAGUUUAUUCCCUUUGAUGCAAUAUUGGGACUCUAAUUAAAAGUUACGGCAAACUCGCAAAACCUAAUAUUUUCUUCUACCAUUUUUUCCACAUACAUUUUUGCAGAUGUCAUCUUAGUUUCCUGCCAUUUUGUCACAUGCAUAAACAUAUUUUAAAUUAUUAUAAUAUGCUUAUACAUUUCUUUUGUUUACUGUCUUUUU